UUUGAUCACAUGAUCUAUUUUGACGUUGAAAAUGAGCGUUGAGCGUCAGCAUGAAAAGAAACUUUAAUACAAGUAAAACGUGAUAAGAAUCAGAAAGAUUUUCACUGUUCUCAGGUAUUAUAUGACAUUUUUCGAAGAAAAAAAAACAUUGGAUAAAAUCAUUAGCUGUAACAGGAUCAAAUAUCAACGAAUCUGAACAGUCUCCAUUAACAGAUAACAAUGAAAAUGAAUCACCUGUAUAAUCUAGAAAAGGAAGAUCUCUUUAAGUGAAGUAAGAGUGAAUUACUUAACAAUUUCAUUAAAAGAGAAACGAUUAAAAAGAGAAGAAAGUGUCAAUUACAGAACAAUAACAUUAAAAACAGUAAGUGAAAUAAAAGAAGUGUUUGAAAAUCGGAAACAAUAGUGUUGGUACGAAAAGGGAAAAUACUAAAUGUACGAACAAAAAGUUAAAGACUUAGAAUUAUCUUGUGCGUUACUAUUACAUCUACAACUUCAGUCUCUAAAUAAGUGUUACUACAAUUCUUGUGCUCAGACCCUAACUCGUUAUGCAGUCGUUAUGUACACACAGUUGCAUAGCUUUUUUAUUAUGUAACAAAAUAUCUGCGCAACUGAUGUUAUAAGUACAUAACGAUUGCAUGAGUUACAGAAUACAAGGGCUGGAACAGAAAACGGACUAUGAGUCUGAAAAUCAGUUAACUGCGCUCAAAUGAAAAUUGGAAAAGGCAUCAUUCUUUGCAUUUUAAAAAUAUAGUUUACUUUAAGAAUUAAACUUGAUUAAUUCUAUUUAAUAUCGCUAAAGAUGAUUGGAAUUAGCUGAAACAUCAGAAUAUCAUUAAACAAGAUUUUUAUAUAAAUUUGUAUAAAAUAAUUGUAGCACAAUAAUUAUCGCGCAAUGAUUUUACUCACAUUUGCUCUUAUUUUUAUAAAUUUGUGAUGGAUUGACUUUAUAUAUAUAUAUAUAUAUAGUUUACAGAACUAUGAGAACCUGAACCUAAAUCUGAAUUGUAUAGAAAUUUACGAAAUGGUUGAGUUUUCAGCAAACUCAACUGUGUGGGGCAGAUCCGUGAGUGCUUGUUGCUAUUGGGGUGUAUUAUUCUAGAUCAUCCAAUAUUAUUUAUUAUGAAAGUUGUAGUAAAAGUUUACUGCAAAAUAAAUACUUCAUAUUCUAAAAGGCAAUAUUAAAAAAUAUUAGCGGA